rnacentral:piRNA from 3 species
UCUCAGGGUCGUGGGUUCGAGCCCCACG